GAUGAAGAACGUAGCGAAAUGCGAUAAGUAAUGUGAAUUGCAGAAUUCAGUGAAUCAUCGAAUCUUUGAACGCACAUUGCGCCCGCCAGUAUUCUGGCGGGCAUGCCUGUUCGAGCGUCAUUUCAACCAUCAAGCCCCAGGCUUGUGUUGGGGACCUGCGGCUGCCGCAGGCCCUGAAAACCAGUGGCGGGCUCGCUGUCACACCGGGCGUAGUAGAUUUUAUCUCGCUCUGGGCGUGCUGCGGGUUCCGGCCGUUAAAAAGCCUUUUUUACCCAAGGUUGACCUCGGAUCAGGUAGGAAGACCCGCUGAACUUAAGCAUAUCAAUAAGCGGAGGA
rnacentral:misc_RNA from 1 species